rnacentral:tRNA from 1 species
AGGGAUGUAGCUCAGUGGAAGAGCACUUGCCUAGGAUACAUGAAGUCUUGGUUGGGUUCAAUCCCCAGCACCACCA